AUGAAUAUGUCAUAUACCUAACUAGUUAUAUGGAGAAUGUCAACAUUUAGCACUAAUUAUUAAAGAAUUAUAUAUGAAUAGUAAUUCUUACUGGUAUAAAUAAGCUUCAAAACUCUCAUUUCAAAUCACACCGCUACAACUUCAAACACUUCCCAUCAAGUUAGUAGUAAACCCUUGGAAGCAAGAUUAGGGAAGAGUUCUCGAAAGAGAAGGAGUUCUAGCGCCCAAAAUAUGAAUAAUGAUUAUUCGGCAGCCGAAUCAAAAUCUUGACCGUCUAAUUACUGUUCGUCUAGCAGGACUUAAGGUGAUUCGAUAGUGGUUAAAAGUUAGUACAUGAUAUAGUAUUAUAUUUCUUUAAAUUUUAUUGAUGCAAAUUAGGAUAUUGCUAAAAUACGUAUACUAGUAUUAAUUAAUAAACGGUGAAAUGAUGAAUAUGAUGUUGAAAUGAUAUGCUAAUACAUGACAUGAUAGUAAAAGGUUAUGUUUGAUAUUUGAUAUGUUGAAAUAUGGUGAAAUAAUGAAUAUGAUGUGAAAAUGAUAUGCUAAUACAUGAUAUAAUAUUAAAUUAAUAUGUCAAAAUUUGAUAUGGUUAUAUGUUGAAAUAUGUUUGUGGGUUAUAACGAUGAGUAUGGGUAGUAAUCUGUAAGUUGAAUUAGUUGAAAGAGCUUAAGCCAUAUCGGUUGCAAGUUGCAUAGUCCUUCUAGAUGACUUUGCAACACAUGGUUUAAGUACACACAUAUGUACACAAAUUGGAGUGAUGUUGGCUUUAUGUUGUGGCUAGAUCAAACAAUGUGUAGGAUUUGGGAGGUGUGUCCUUAGGAUUGACAUUGUUGAACCAAUCCUGAACGACGUCGCAAGUUAUAAUACUUUGCAAGUCGGAGUAGCGAAAGUGGAAGUCUUGGAGUUAAUAAUUCAGGUAGGAGUCAUGACUUACUUAGAACAUGAGUCAUGACUUACUUAGAACAUUUACUGGCCAAACACAUGAGUAGUGAAAAGGGUAGAGCCUUGGGUUAAAAUAUUGUUAAGAAACCCAAAUUUAAUAAUCGUUUGAAAUAGUCAAAAUGAUAGUUAAAUGAUGAUUAUGUGUAUUGAUUGGAUGAUAAUGAUAAAUAGUUAAAAUCAUAAUAAUUUGAAUGAAUGAUCCUAGAAGAAAUUGCAUAUUUUGUUAUGUACAACUUUAUCGGCUCAUGAAGCAUAUGCUAACACUUAUUCUUUUGCUAUGUGCCUUAUGAUUGAUGCUGGUAGCUUAGAAGUUUGGCUUGGUGAGGUUGUGAAACUAUAUGGGUAGUUUCAUUUGAAUAAAUAUACCAUAUGAACAUGUUUGAUUUAAUUAUUUAAUAUUAUGAAUCGAUUGGUAAUGUUGUGGUUUAUUUAGAAAUGUUUUUAAAACAUAAAAAGUCUUCUGCUAUAUUUAUGAUUAAAAUGGUUUUAAAGUUGCGAAAUUUUUUAAAAAAAAAUCACGACGUUACAAUAUCACUAAGAGUCAUGAAUUGCCAUUUCAUCAAAAUACUCUCAUAGUCUGGUCAUGAGUUUCCGCCCUCUUGAAUUACUAAUGUAUGGUGCACUAAACAAACAUCAUCUUAUGGUUACAUGUAUUAUGUGAUCAUUGUGGAUUACUCCUCCUAAUACAUGGUUAUAUCCUUUAAAACGCAAAUAAGAUAAUUCCAUUAUAUUUUCCAUAUUGUAAUGUUAUUUGAGAAGCAAUUUAACUAGAAAAUCAUAUCAUUAUUUUUUUACAAUGGUGGUGAAUUUCUCAAAUUGAUUAUGCACCUCAACUUAGAAUGUAUCUCUCACCUAACCUCCCUACCUCACACAUCCAAGCAUAAUGGGACAGUUGAGCGACAUCAUUGACAUGUUGAAAAUGGUCUUUCAUUGGUACAUAAUGCCUCUAUAUCUCUAUAUUGUUGGCCUCGUGCCUUUCAAAACUUUGUUUAUUUAAUUAAUCGUCUACCCACCCCAUUACUAAAACAUCUCUCUCAAUACUCGAUUAUAUUUAAUCAAGAACCCAACUAUCAAAAACUUUGUCCCUUUGGGGUAUUUAUGAUUUUCAUGUUUACGUCCUUAUACAUAUCAUAAAUUACAACCUUGAUAAACUUCAUGCAUUUUUAUUAGUUAUUCGUGUAACGACCAGAAAAACGUUACUUCCUCAGUGAGAGGCUAAAGGAAAAUGGAAUUUACAAAUGUAGGAAAUGAAGAACCAACAAGUACAUUACCAUUAAGCAUAAGUCAACAAAAGUAAACCAACACACAAAUAUGGUGUGUGAGCUUGGCCACGACGCAUGGAUUAAAGGGGUGCAGGACGUUGGGCUUCGUCUGGGUUGCAAGGCAUGUGGCAAACACUUAGGACACAUGGCCAGGAAGGCGACAUGUAGUGCGACGUAGGGCUGACACAUAACAAGGACGCAACACAUCCUUAUGGAGGGCAUGACGCGUAGGCAUAUUUCCAACACUAUAAAUAGUUGGCACCCGUCUUUCAUUGCAUGUUUUCCCGAAGAUUGCUCGGAGGGCUAAGCAAUGAUGUGUAGUUUACGGAAGUGAGUGCUAACGCCGAUACAUGAGUAAUUGAUUACGAAGCAAGAUAAGGUAUUCUCUUAUCCCGUUAUUACGUCAGUAUAACUAAGUUACGUCAUUACGGUAAGGCUUUUAGAACCCAAGUCUAUUAGUAGAGUAUGUGAUACGGUGUUAUUGUGGACUUGAAUGAUAAGUUGGAUGGAUGAAUUCCCCGAUGGAAUUCUUAGUUGGUUAACAAAGAUUAUAAACCCAAUGUUAUGAGGUGAUUUAAAGAGAGUAAUAGAACUGACGGUAUACGGGGUUAGACCGUUUAGUAGUUGUAGUAUGGGACUUGGUAAGUAUAGUAACAAAUGGUUAUAUGGUCCAGUUAAAGGUCGAAUAAAUGACCACUAUGGUAGACGUGAUAGUAAAUCUUUACAAGUUCUAAGGAGCUUGGUAAUUUUUUGAAUAAGUUUGGAUAAGCGAUAGAUUGGAAAGCAUCACAACAAUUGAGGUCGCGACAAUAGUUACUCUUCACUAAGGUGGUGUUUUUUUCCGAAGCUAAAACGUUUGUAGUCUGCAGACCACAUCUGCAACCCUCUGCAGUAGAAGAAGAGAACCAAACAUCUACAAACUACAAUAAGAAGUUUGUUUUCUCUUUUAACGUUUGUAGGCUGCUAAAAUAAACUGAAAUGAACCAUACGAUAGUUAAAAAUAAUUCUAAAUCAAAAAAUUGUUUAGUUUUAAUCAUAUGCAAAUCGAAUACAAAGAUCAUUGUGAUGAUAUGAUUUUUAAAGACAUUUAUAUAAAAUAAUUAAACAUAAUAAUUGCUAAAUAACAAUAAAUAAAAUUGUUAAUUUAGUGAACAUGUUUAUUUUGUUAACUUUUCCAAGAUGAUGGUUAUUUCUUUGGUUAGCUUCAAUAGAUUUGGUAAUUUUACUGGUUAACUUUAUAAUUUAUUAAUAUUUGAUUAUACAUGAAUUUUUUAUCGAUAUGAAAUUUACCAAACAGUUUUGAAAUUAUGUAAAGUAUACAUUAAUUGUUUAUAAUACAUUUACUAAUAUUAUUAAAAUAAUAAACAUGUUGAAAAAUUAAAAAAAAAAUUGUGUUGAAUAAUAUAUCUUAAGGUAAGGUGGGAAGUGGUUUGAAGAUGAGGGUCCAGUGCUAUGCAAUGCAGUACACACGUAAUAGUUUCUAAAUCAAAAGUCUUUUAAAAAACAAACAACUGUAAAAUAUCAUGUUGUGCAUGUUCUGCGCAACACAGCCAGAAGUGGUCAAAAGUGAUUAAAAAACGGUUUCUAAAUAGUCAGGUGAGCAUAUGUGGAUUUAGUGGGUACAUAGCAAACUAAUUUAAGGGUUAAUAUUAUAUAAACCCUAAAUUUUUAACGCGUAAUUGGAAAAAGCCUUCAUAUUUUUUUAUUAUUGUUGUGGUCACAACUUUCUCGCAGAAUUAUCACUCUAGCCCACUUAACGAGUUUCAUGGUUAAGUUGGUUAAUUUUUUUUGCAAAAUCAGUCCUAAAAAGUUCAAAUUUAGUCCCUGAAGUUUGAAAAAAAUUACACCACAUGGUUUUUUAACUUUAUUUUUCGUUUUUUGUAUACUUUAUUUAUUUUCGUUUUUUUAAAAAUAUAUGUACAUUUUUUUAUUUUCUUUAUAUAUAUAUANUAUAUAUAUAUUACUUAUUUUCAUUUUUUAACUUUAUUUUUCAACAAUUUUUUUAAACCUUUUUACCUUUUGUUUUCUAUUUUUUAGUGUAUAUAUAGAGUAUAUUAGAGUUUUUUUAAGGUUUUUUCAUAUUUCUUUUCGUAUUAUAUUUUAUUUUUUUCAACUUUUUAUUUUUUAUUUUUUUUAAAACGUAAGUCCCUAGUUUCCAUAAUUUUAAAGCGUAUUUGUGUUGGAAGCUUAUUGAAUUAUGUAAUAAAUGAUGUAAAAUUCCUAUCAAGUUAUAUGUGAAAAAGGGGAAUAAAAUGUCUUUUAUGUGAUUGAGGAUAUAUUGUACUCCAUCCACAGGUGAGUGCAAGGAAGUGGAUCGUGGAUAUUAUGUAGGCCUCGUGACGAGCUAAAGGUUAUUAAAAGGAAUGUCCAAGAUUAUUAACUAUUGGUAAUAUUUCCAAUAAUAACAUGGUCAUUUUGGGUUGUCCUCAUGACCCAUUUGAGAAAUAAAGAAUUAG
rnacentral:lncRNA from 1 species